GGGUAACCUGCCUGUAAGACUGGGAUAACUCCGGGAAACCGGGGCUAAUACCGGAUAAUUUAGUUCCUCGCAUGAGGAACUGUUGAAAGGUGGCUUUUCGCUACCACUUACAGAUGGACCCGCGGCGCAUUAGCUAGUUGGUGAGGUAACGGCUCACCAAGGCAACGAUGCGUAGCCAACCUGAGAGGGUGAUCGGCCACACUGGGACUGAAACACGGCCCAAACUCCUACGGGAGGCAGCAGUAGGGAAUCUUCCGCAAUGGACGAAAGUCUGACGGAGCACCGCCGCGUGAGUGAAGAAGGUUUUCGGAUCGUAAAACUCUGUUGUUAGGGAAAAACAAGUGCCGUUCGAAUAGGGCGGCACCUUGACGGUACCUAACCAGAAAGCCACGGUUAACUACGUGCCACCAGCCGCGGUAAUACGUAGGUGGCAAGCGUUGUCCGGAAUUAUUGGGCGUAAAGCGCGCGCAGGUGGUUUCUUAAGUCUGAUGUGAAAGCCCACGGCUCAACCGUGAAGGGUCAUUGGAAACUGGGGAACUUGAGUGCAAAAGAGGAAAGUGGAAUUCCAAGUGUAGCGGUGAAAUGCGUAGAUAUUUGGAGGAACACCAGUGCCGAAGGCGACUUUCUGUCUGUAACUGACCACUGAGCCGCGAAAGCGUGGGAGCAAACAGAUUAGAUACCCUUGUAGUCCACGCCGUAAACGAUGAUGCUAAGUGUUAAGAGGUUUCCGCCCUUUAGUGCUGCAGCUAACGCAUUAGCACCUCCGCCUGGAGUACGGU
rnacentral:rRNA from 2 species